ensembl:misc_RNA 7SK 7SK RNA
GGAUUUGAAAAUGAUAUGGCUGCAGUAUUUGUCAUCCCAUUGAUCUCCAGGGUUAAUUCAGUUGCUCUACACAACUAGGUAGGUGUACCAUUCCUCCUACACCACUCAUGUGCUUUUUUCCUAAAGCCAAUUGAUCAGUUGAAGAAGACAACCUUCCCUGCUAGGGAAGGACCAUUCUGUCACCAAUAAAAGUAGGUAUGCUCUCCUGCUAGAACCUCCAAAGAGACCCCCAAGAAAUGCUAACCUAAGUGAUGGGCAGGUGUCGUGCUAGUUCCUGUCACUAUGGCAUUAAGUAAUGUUGUAACCGAAUGAGAAUUACAUUUUGGCUAUAAGU